GAUUAACGCUGGCGGCGUGCAUAACACAUGCAAGUCGAACGAGUGGCGAACGGGUGAGUAACGCGUGGCAACCUGCCUCUCACAACGGGAUAGCCUCGGGAAACCGGGAUUAAUACCAAAUGCGGUUAGAUGGACUCGCGUCCCAUUAGCUAGUUGGUGAGGUAAAGGCUCACCUAGGCGACGAUCUCUAGCUGGUCUGAGAGGAUGAUCAGCCACACUGGGACUGAGACACGGCCCAGACUCCUACGGGAGGCAGCAGUGGGGAAUAUUGCACAAUGGGCGCAAGCCUGAUGCAGCCAUGCCGCGUGUAUGAAGAAGGCCUUAGGGUUGUAAAGUACUUUCAGCGGGGAGGCGUUACCCGCAGAAGAAGCACCGGCUAACUCCGUGCCAGCAGCCGCGGUAAUUC
rnacentral:rRNA from 1 species